CGUAGGUGCGAGCGUUGUCCGGAAUUAUUGGGCGUAAAGGGCUCGUAGGCGGUUUGUCGCGUCGGGAGUGAAAUCACCACAGCUUAACUGGGUGCGUGCUUUCGAUACGGGCAGACUGGAGGUAUGCAGGGGAGAACGGAAUUCCUGGUGUAGCGGUGAAAUGCGCAGAUAUCAGGAGGAACACCGGUGGCGAAGGCGGUUCUCUGGGCAUGUCCUGACGCUGAGGAGCGAAAGUGUGGGAGCGAACAGGAUU
rnacentral:rRNA from 1 species